rnacentral:rRNA from 1 species
AGGGGCAGCGCAGUGUAGCAAUACAUGGGCGGCGACCGGCAAACGGGUGCGGAACACGUACGCAACCUUCCCAAAACUGGGGGAUAGCUUUCGGAAACGAAAAUUAAUACCCCGUAACACAGUGAGAUGGCAUCAUUUUAUUGUUAUAGUUCCGACGGUUUUGGAUGGGCGUGCGGCUGAUUAGGUAGUUGGCGGGGUAACAGCCCACCAAGCCUACGAUCAGUAACUGGUGUGAGAGCACGACCAGUCACACGGGCACUGAGACACGGGCCCGACUCCUACGGGAGGCAGCAGUAAGGAAUAUUGGUCAAUGGACGCAAGUCUGAACCAGCCAUGCCGCGUGGAGGAUGAAGGCCCUCUGGGUUGUAAACUUCUUUUAUCGAAGAAGAAACCCUAGCAUUCUUGCUGGGUUGACGGUACUCGAUGAAUAAGCACCGGCUAACUCCGUGCCAGCAGCCGCGGUAAUACGGAGGGUGCAAGCGUUAUCCGGAUUCACUGGGUUUAAAGGGUGCGUAGGCGGGUUGGUAAGUCAGUGGUGAAAUCUUCAAGCUUAACUUGGAAACUGCCGUUGAUACUAUCAAUCUUGAAUAUUGUGGAGGUAAGCGGAAUAUGUCAUGUAGCGGUGAAAUGCUUAGAUAUGACAUAGAACACCGAUNGCGAAGGCAGCUUGCUACACAA